CCUUUCACAAAAAAAGUAUAAGAUAUUUUCAUAUUAGGAAUACAUAAUUUCUUGUCCUUUGCACAAAAAGUAUGAGAUAUUUAAUUUUAUUAUUAACAUCAUAGACGUCCUCUUUCAGUCCCUUUUGAGUUGAGUCUGUCGCACAAGGCUUAUCGAGUGUGGUUUGCGCUUUCUGUGUGACUUGCAGGCUAUUACACGAUAGGGUCUUCAACACGUCUCUU
rnacentral:lncRNA from 1 species